CCUANGGGGGGCUGCAGUAGGGAAUAUUGCACAAUGGGCGAAAGCCUGAUGCAGCAACGCCGCGUGUGCGAUGAAGGCCUUCGGGUCGUAAAGCACUUUUCUGAGGGAUGAGCAAGGACAGUACCUCAGGAAUAAGUCUCGGCUAACUACGUGCCAGCAGCCGCGGUAAAACGUAGGAGGCAAGCGUUAUCCGGAUUCACUGGGCGUAAAGCGCGUGCAGGCGGUUCGGUAAGUUGGGCGUGAAAUCUCCUGGCUUAACUAGGAGAGGUCGUUCAAUACUACCGGACUUGAGAGUGAUAGAGGAAGAUGGAAUUCCCGGUGUAGUGGUGAAAUGCGUAGAUAUCGGGAGGAACACCAGUGGCGAAAGCGAUCUUCUGGAUCAUUUCUGACGCUCAGACGCGAAAGCUAGGGUAGUAAACGGGAUUAGAUACCCUUNUANUC
rnacentral:rRNA from 1 species